GACGUAGGGCGCGAGCGUUUGUCCGGAUUUAUUGGGCGUAAAGAGCUCGUAGGCGGCUUGUCGCGUCGACUGUGAAAUCCCGCGGCUCAACUGCGGGUCUGCAGUCGAUACGGGCAGGCUAGAGUUCGGUAGGGGAGACUGGAAUUCCUGGUGUAGCGGUGAAAUGCGCAGAUAUCAGGAGGAACACCAAUGGCGAAGGCAGGUCUCUGGGCCACAACUGACGCUGAGGAGCGAAAGCGUGGGGAGCGAACAGG
rnacentral:rRNA from 1 species